rnacentral:rRNA from 1 species
CCACAUACGCAUCCUUUGCUGAGGAUACGGUUAACGGAGCACAAGCGACGUUCAACCUCAAAAGAAGCAGAGGGGGCUUAGUGGUGGGGUGACUGCGUACCUUUUGUAUAAUGGGUCAGCGACUUAUAUUCUGUAGCAAGGUUAACCGUAUAGGGGAGCCGGAGGGAAACCGAGUCUUAACCGGGCGUUAAGUUGCAGGGUAUAGACCCGAAACCCGGUGAUCUAGCCAUGGGCAGGUUGAAGGUUGGGUAACACUAACUGGAGGACCGAACCGACUAAUGUUGAAAAAUUAGCGGAUGACCUGUGGCUGGGGGUGAAAGGCCAAUCAAACCGGGAGAUAGCUGGUUCUCCCCGAAAGCUAUUUAGGUAGCGCCUCGUGAAUUCAUCUCCGGGGGUAGAGCACUGUUUCGGCUAGGGGGCCAUCCCGGCUUACCAACCCGAUGCAAACUGCGAAUACCGGAGAAUGUUAUCACGGGAGACACACGGCGGGUGCUAACGUCCGUCGUGAAGAGGGAAACAACCCAGACCGCCAGCUAAGGUCCCAAAGUCAUGGUUAAGUGGGAAACGAUGUGGGAAGGCCCAGACAGCCAGGAUGUUGGCUUAGAAGCAGCCAUCAUUUAAAGAAAGCGUAAUAGCUCACUGGUCGAGUCGGCCUGCGCGGAAGAUGUAACGGGGCUAAACCAUGCAC